rnacentral:rRNA from 1 species
CCUACGGGCGGCUGCAGUGGGGAAUAUUGGACAAUGGGGGGAACCCUGAUCCAGCCAUGCCGCGUGUGUGAAGAAGGCCCUCGGGUUGUAAAGCACUUUCAGUGAGGAAGAACGCCUGGUGGUUAAUACCCAUCAGGAAAGACAUCACUCACAGAAGAAGCACCGGCUAACUCCGUGCCAGCAGCCGCGGUAAUACGGAGGGUGCGAGCGUUAAUCGGAAUUACUGGGCGUAAAGCGCGCGUAGGUGGCUUGAUAAGCCGGUUGUGAAAGCCCCGGGCUCAACCUGGGAACGGCAUCCGGAACUGUCAAGCUAGAGUGCAGGAGAGGAAGGUAGAAUUCCCGGUGUAGCGGUGAAAUGCGUAGAGAUCGGGAGGAAUACCAGUGGCGAAGGCGGCCUUCUGGACUGACACCGACACUGAGGUGCGAAAGCGUGGGUAGCAAACAGGAUUAGAUACCCGAGUAGUC